rfam:Micromonospora aurantiaca ATCC 27029, complete genome.
CUUCACCGACCCCAACAACAACGGCACAUCCCGACCCUGCCCAUACGUCGCCAACAACGCCUGAGCCUC